rnacentral:sRNA from 1 species
CCGCACACCUGGUUGAGCUUGCUUCAGUGGUGCCUGUCCCAAGAGCCCACACUCCUUGGGACGCUGGGCCUCGCUGGGCAGGGGCAUGGACCACAACGGGUGCGGUCUCCAGCAGCCCCCGUCAGGCUGGGCCUGCUGGUUGCCACAGACUUUCUCUGUGGGCCAGCUGAUAGGGAGAGGUUUGUGGGGGCUUUGGGCCCCAAGGCUGCUGCUCAGGGUGUUCUGCUGUCCCUUACUCUGCGCCAGUCCCUGAAGAGGAAGGAGAAAGAAUAUGAGCAUGAAAUGGAGCGGCUGGCACGGGAGAAGAUUGCCACGCAGCAGCGGCUGGCAGAGCUCAAGCACGAGCUGAGUCAGUGGAUGGACGUACUGGAGAUUGACCGUGUGCUGCGGCAGACGGGCCAGCCCGAGGAUGACCAGGCCUCCACCUCCACCGCCUCUGAGGGUGAGGACAACAUAGACGAGGAUAUGGAGGAGGACCGGGCGGGCCUGGGCCCACCUAAGCUGAGCCAUCGUCCCCAGCCGGAG